AGAGUUUGAUCCUGGCUCAGAUUGAACGCUGGCGGCAGGCCUAACACAUGCAAGUCGAGCGGAUGAAGAGAGCUUGCUCUCUGAUUCAGCGGCGGACGGGUGAGUAAUGCCUAGGAAUCUGCCUGGUAGUGGGGGACAACGUUUCGAAAGGAACGCUAAUACCGCAUACGUCCUACGGGAGAAAGCAGGGGACCUUCGGGCCUUGCGCUAUCAGAUGAGCCUAGGUCGGAUUAGCUAGUAGGUGAGGUAAUGGCUCACCUAGGCGACGAUCCGUAACUGGUCUGAGAGGAUGAUCAGUCACACUGGAACUGAGACACGGUCCAGACUCCUACGGGAGGCAGCAGUGGGGAAUAUUGGACAAUGGGCGAAAGCCUGAUCCAGCCAUGCCGCGUGUGUGAAGAAGGUCUUCGGAUUGUAAAGCACUUUAAGUUGGGAGGAAGGGCAGUAAGUUAAUACCUUGCUGUUUUGACGUUACCAACAGAAUAAGCACCGGCUAACUUCGUGCCAGCAGCCGCGGUAAUACGAAGGGUGCAAGCGUUAAUCGGAAUUACUGGGCGUAAAGCGCGCGUAGGUGGUUCAGCAAUUUGGAGGUGAAAUCCCCGGGCUCAACCUGGGAACUGCCUCCAAAACUACUGAGCUAGAGUACGGUAGAGGGUAGUGGAAUUUCCUGUGUAGCGGUGAAAUGCGUAGAUAUAGGAAGGAACACCAGUGGCGAAGGCGACUACCUGGACUGAUACUGACACUGAGGUGCG
rnacentral:rRNA from 1 species